AGCUUCGGAGCUUCGUUAUCAGAGGGAACAUCACUAUAAAGUAGUACAUUACUCACAGCUGCAGAAUUUUCUGAUUUAAAGUGCUUUUAGUAGUUGACCUAUAAGUGCUGUAAAAAUUAGUGUUAGCUUGUUGUCCUUUGCUCUAAUUAGCAACUAGCUAACGAAACACACAGGUAGUAGAGCAGAGACUCAGGUGGAGCCACAGAAUUUCAGCAGCUGGAAACUUGGCAGAGCAGCAGUCAGUCAGGGACAGAAGACACAGCGUCUCCUACCACUGGACCGAGGUACAAGUGGUUUCAGGUAUCUGUACUGCACUUACUGUGAUCCCCAAAGACAAAGGGCAGUUACAUUAGUUACACCUGUAAAGUUAAAGACCUGUUAAAAGUUAUGUUUAUUGCUUUUUGGACUCUCCUGGGUGUAAAAUCUAAGCAUUUAUAAGCCCAUUAGCUAAUCACAAGUCUUGUUCAAAAUGUGCUGCUGUCUUUUCAAGU